CUUCGGUGGGGAUUAGUGGCGAACGGGUGAGUAACACGUGGGCAAUCUGCCCUGCACUCUGGGACAAGCCCUGGAAACGGGGUCUAAUACCGGAUACUGAUCCUCGCAGGCAUCUGCGAGGUUCGAAAGCUCCGGCGGUGCAGGAUGAGCCCGCGGCCUAUCAGCUAGUUGGUGAGGUAACGGCUCACCAAGGCGACGACGGGUAGCCGGCCUGAGAGGGCGACCGGCCACACUGGGACUGAGACACGGCCCAGACUCCUACGGGAGGCAGCAGUGGGGAAUAUUGCACAAUGGGCGAAAGCCUGAUGCAGCGACGCCGCGUGAGGGAUGACGGCCUUCGGGUUGUAAACCUCUUUCAGCAGGGAAGAAGCGAAAGUGACGGUACCUGCAGAAGAAGCGCCGGCUAACUACGUGCCAGCAGCCGCGGUAAUACGUAGGGCGCAAGCGUUGUCCGGAAUUAUUGGGCGUAAAGAGCUCGUAGGCGGCUUGU
rnacentral:rRNA from 1 species